CCCCACCUAUCCCUAUUAAUCAUUACGGGGACUUAGAAACCAACAAAAUAGAACCGCACGUCCUAUUUUAUUAUUCCAUGCUAAUGUAUUCAGGCAAAGGCCUGCUUUGAACACUCUAUUUUUUUCAGGGUAAAAGUCCUGGUUCCCCGACACACCCAGAGAAGGACAUGCCAGUUCACCAAGAGGGAGAACCCGGCCGAGCAGUACGAACCGUAAGGCACACCCCCUAACCCGGUUCAAAUUCCACUAAG
rnacentral:rRNA from 2 species